rnacentral:rRNA from 1 species
GAGUUUGAUCAUGGCUCAGAUUGAACGCUGGCGGCAGGCCUAACACAUGCAAGUCGAACGGUAACAGGAAACAGCUUGCUGUUUCGCUGACGAGUGGCGGACGGGUGAGUAAUGUCUGGGAAACUGCCUGAUGGAGGGGGAUAACUACUGGAAACGGUAGCUAAUACCGCAUAACGUCGCAAGACCAAAGAGGGGGACCCUCGGGCCUCUUGCCAUCGGAUGUGCCCAGAUGGAAUUAGCUUGUUGGUGGGGUAACGGCUCACCAAGGCGACGAUCCCUAGCUGGUCUGAGAGGAUGACCAGCACACUGGAACUGAGACACGGUCCAGACUCCUACGGGAGGCAGCAGUGGGGAAUAUUGCACAAUGGGCGCAAGCCUGAUGCAGCCAUGCCGCGUGUAUGAAGAAGGCCUUCGGGUUGUAAAGUACUUUCAGCGGGGAGGAAGGGAGUAAAGUUAAUACCUUUGCUCAUUGACGUUACCCGCAGAAGAAGCACCGGCUAACUCCGUGCCAGCAGCCGCGGUAAUACGGAGGGUGCAAGCGUUAAUCGGAAUUACUGGGCGUAAAGCGCACGCAGGCGGUUUGUUAAGUCAGAUGUGAAAUCCCCGGGCUCAACCUGGGAACUGCAUCUGAUACUGGCAAGCUUGAGUCUCGUAGAGGGGGGUAGAAUUCCAGGUGUAGCGGUGAAAUGCGUAGAGAUCUGGAGGAAUACCGGUGGCGAAGGCGGCCCCCUGGACGAAGACUGACGCUCAGGUGCGAAAGCGUGGGGAGCAAACAGGAUUAGAUACCCUGGUAGUCCACGCCGUAAACGAUGUCGACUUGGAGGUUGUGCCCUUGAGGCGUGGCUUCCGGAGCUAACGCGUUAAGUCGACCGCCUGGGGAGUACGGCCGCAAGGUUAAAACACAAAUGAAUUGACGGGGGCCCGCACAAGCGGUGGAGCAUGUGGUUUAAUUCGAUGCAACGCGAAGAACCUUACCUGGUCUUGACAUCCACGGAAGUUUUCAGAGAUGAGAAUGUGCCUUCGGGAACCGUGAGACAGGUGCUGCAUGGCUGUCGUCAGCUCGUGUUGUGAAAUGUUGGGUUAAGUCCCGCAACGAGCGCAACCCUUAUCCUUUGUUGCCAGCGGUCCGGCCGGGAACUCAAAGGAGACUGCCAGUGAUAAACUGGAGGAAGGUGGGGAUGACGUCAAGUCAUCAUGGCCCUUACGACCAGGGCUACACACGUGCUACAAUGGCGCAUACAAAGAGAAGCGACCUCGCGAGAGCAAGCGGACCUCAUAAAGUGCGUCGUAGUCCGGAUUGGAGUCUGCAACUCGACUCCAUGAAGUCGGAAUCGCUAGUAAUCGUGGAUCAGAAUGCCACGGUGAAUACGUUCCCGGGCCUUGUACACACCGCCCGUCACACCAUGGGAGUGGGUUGCAAAAGAAGUAGGUAGCUUAACCUUCGGGAGGGCGCUUACCACUUUGUGAUUCAUGACUGGGGUGAAGUCGUAACAAGGUA